rnacentral:rRNA from 1 species
GCGCAGGCGGAUUGUUAAGCAAGACGUGAAAUCCCCGGGCUUAACCUGGGAAUGGCGUUUUGAACUGGCAGUCUAGAGUGUGUCAGAGGGGGGUGGAAUUCCACGUGUAGCAGUGAAAUGCGUAGAUAUGUGGAGGAACACCAAUGGCGAAGGCAGCCCCCUGGGAUAACACUGACGCUCAUGUACGAAAGCGUGGGUAGCAAACAGGAUUAGAUACCCUGGUAGUCCACGCCCUAAACGAUGUCAACUGGUUGUUGGGGGAGUGAAAUCCCUUAGUAACGAAGCUAACGCGUGAAGUUGACCGCCUGGGGAGUACGGUCGCAAGAUUAAAACUCAAAGGAAUUGACGGGGACCCGCACAAGCGGUGGAUGAUGUGGAUUAAUUCGAUGCAACGCGAAAAACCUUACCUACCCUUGACAUGUCCAGAAUCCUGCAGAGAUGCGGGAGUGCCCGAAAGGGAAUUGGAACACAGGUGCUGCAUGGCUGUCGUCAGCUCGUGUCGUGAGAUGUUGGGUUAAGUCCCGCAACGAGCGCAACCCUUAUCAUUAGUUGCUACGCAAGGGCACUCUAAUGAGACUGCCGGUGACAAACCGGAGGAAGGUGGGGAUGACGUCAAGUCCUCAUGGCCCUUAUGGGUAGGGCUUCACACGUCAUACAAUGGUCGGUACAGAGGGUUGCCAAGCCGCGAGGUGGAGCCAAUCCCAGAAAGCCGAUCGUAGUCCGGAUUGUUCUCUGCAACUCGAGAGCAUGAAGUCGGAAUCGCUAGU